GCUCAAAUAGUUUAAGUAAUAAAAAAUUUUGAUUUGUGGUAUCAAGGAUGCAGACUUUUGCUUUGGGCU
rnacentral:tRNA from 1 species